GUGGCGGACGGGUGAGUAACGCGUGGGAAUCUGCCCAGUAGUGGGGGAUAACUCCGGGAAACCGGGGCUAAUACCGUAUGAACCCUACGGGGAAAAGCAGGGGAUCUUCGGACCUUGCGCUAUUGGAUGAGCCCGCGUCCGAUUAGCUUGUUGGUGAGGUAAUGGCUCACCAAGGCGACGAUCGGUAGCUGGUCUGAGAGGACGAUCAGCCACACUGGGACUGAGACACGGCCCAGACUCCUACGGGAGGCAGCAGUAGGGAAUAUUGGACAAUGGGCGAAAGCCUGAUCCAGCAAUGCCGCGUGUGUGAAGAAGGCCCUAGGGUUGUAAAGCACUUUCAGUGGGGAAGAAAAGCUAGGGGUUAAUACCCCCUUGUGCUGACGUUACCCAAAGAAGAAGCACCGGCUAACUCCGUGCCAGCAGCCGCGGUAAUACGGAGGGUGCGAGCGUUAAUCGGAAUUACUGGGCGUAAAGGGCGCGUAGGUGGCUAGAUUAGUCGGGUGUGAAA
rnacentral:rRNA from 1 species